rnacentral:rRNA from 1 species
AAAUUGAAGAGUUUGAUCAUGGCUCAGAUUGAACGCUGGCGGCAGGCCUAACACAUGCAAGUCGAACGGUAACAGGAAUCAGCUUGCUGAUUCGCUGACGAGUGGCGGACGGGUGAGUAAUGUCUGGGAAACUGCCUGAUGGAGGGGGAUAACUACUGGAAACGGUAGCUAAUACCGCAUAAUGUCGCAAGACCAAAGAGGGGGACCUUCGGGCCUCUU